rnacentral:misc_RNA from 1 species
UCUCCGUUGGUGAACCAGCGGAGGGAUCAUUACAGGACUCGCAAGACUCCCGUAACCACUGUGAACCUACCUAUACUCGUUGCCUCGGCGGGCGCCUGGUGCUUCUGGCGCCGGGCGUUCAGCCCGCCGGCGGCCCCCUACUCUGUCUCUGCAGCGUGGCAUCUCGAGAUAAACACAAAUGAAUCAAAACUUUCAACAACGGAUCUCUUGGUUCUGGCAUCGAUGAAGAACGCAGC